UGUGGAAAUCCGUCGCGUCCAAUAAGAUUUGAACCUAUACUAAAGGUUUAGAAGACGUCUAUCUUAUCCAUUAGACAAUGGACGCAGGUGAGGUCAUGUCUAUAUGGUUUACUCCACAAGGCUGGGUCCAAAGAAAAAAAGCAUUGUAAAACUAUUUUAUGCAUUUUGAGGAUGACAAUUCCAAGUCAGCAAAAAUUUUGAAGCAGUGGAAUCUAAUGAUCAUUUCGUUUGAAUGAACAAAUUAGCAACAAUAAGUGACACCAAGGUAAAACUGCAGCGAGGGAAGUGUGGGGUAUACUUGAACAAUUUGUUCCGUCACCAUAUUCUUGAUGUGCACCGAUUUUUUAGAUAAGUUGCGUGAAUAUUUGUAAUGUUUCUGUGCUUUUUCGACCCUUGUACACAAUGCAACUCUGUUUUUUUUUUUUAGUAGUUCUGGUAUUGGAAUAGAUUGAUUACAUUUGCAAAAAGAAUAUCUUAAGAUUUUCCUGCUUGGUUUCAUGAGAGUUAGUUCAAGCUUAUUUGCCAAAUGAAAAAGGUUGAGCACAAUCCUAGUUCCUGUGCUAACAACAACAACAACAACAACAACAACAACAACAAAGCCUUAGUCCCAAAAUUUUGGGAUUGGGUAUAGAUCCUCAACAUAUUAGUUUAUUUUCUCAUUAGCAAGUCUCAACAGAUUAGUUUAUGUUCUCAUUAGCUAAGCCUAAUUCACCAAGUAUACUUUGGUUAUGGUUGUCAAUGUUGUGGAAUUCAUUUCAUACACAUAUUAGAGACUAGGGAUGAUAAGUUAAAUCGCAAACUUUUCACGUACAACUUGUGUACAGCUUGGUAGUGGUAUAUUUCAAUAUGCUCUUAACAAACCAAUUUGAAGCAAAGCCAAGCUCAACUUAGAUCUGUAAUUGAGUAGCUGGGAACUUCACCAAACUAUGUCAGCUGAUAUUUUCCGGACCUUUGAUAAAACACUACCAAAGAGUGAAAAUCAGCGAAUAAGUCAUUAGUUGAGGUUAUGAGAAUAUUGAUGCGUAGCUUAUAAGGUGAUGGGAAAAUAGGUAUUAUUAGAAUAGACCCUUCAUUUUAAGGUGUUGUCAUUUGAUCUGAGGCAAGAGUUUGAAUCCUCCCUUCACUGGUUGUAACAAUUGAAUCAUCAAAAAGAAAAAAGAAAAAAGCUAAGCAUAUUUAAAUAUCCCCUGCUCUUUCUUUUUGUUAUCUGGUGUGGCUCAAAGUAAAAGAUAAUUCAACUCUAAAUGAUCUGCAACGUUAUUAGCUGUGUUUCAAAUUAAUUUGAACUGUAAGGAAAGAAAAAUAUAAUUGAGCAGUCCGAAAUAGAACUCCGUUCCUUACACUAAUAAGCUGAUUGACUGGGAAGACUGCAUUCAUCUUUGAUCAUUGAGUAGAAAAGCAUAGCUAUAGUUGCCAAAUAGUUCUAGACAGAUGUUUGAUGUUAAUGGGGUAGGCAGGCAAGGGUGAUUGAUAUGAGAUGAUCUUUUGAACCUUCCUACUAUUACCUUUUUACACCUAACACUUGCUAUAAAAAAGCCUUCUCAUGUUGUAUGAAAUUUUGCCUGCUGGUCCGGCAAGAUGUAUUUUUGGUUUUAAAAGAAAUUUUGUCACGGUAUCAAGUACAACUGGCCUUCUCAUUUCACUAAUAACUGGUUGUUAAAUUUUAGUUCAAACUGACUUGGAAACAAUUGGUAAAAGAUCUCUGAUCAAUUUUUCCUGAACCAUCACAUUAGAAUUCGGAUCAAUGAUUCCUGACAUGACUUUCAUACCGGUUCGAACUUGGACCAAAAAUUAUCUUAGAUCAGAUGAGUGCAAAUAUGUGUGUACUUGCUUGAACAUAGGUGAAACUUGAAAGGAAUCGACUGUAAUCUUCAACGACCCAUCUGUGGGGAUCAAAACUCUUCUUGCUGCUGAUAUGUCACAUAACUUUUGUUCUCAGAUGGCCUACUUGUACUAUUAUCCCAUGUGUAGGAUUGUAGUUCUAUUUA